rnacentral:lncRNA from 1 species
CUCCAUGGGUGGUCCAGGGCCUUGAAUCUUGGCUUGAAAGCCCACCCCCUCAGGUAUAGUCAUCCUACAGCGUUCUCUAGAAAAAUAUAAUCUUUAGCAAUUAGCGUAUCAAUGAUAUAAAGGGACCAGAUAACAUCUAUACGAAAUGGGAACAAAAUGAAGUUCUGAGAGACCACGCCAGGACACAUAGGAACACCAUGAAGAUCUGAGGCAAUACCUGGGACUUCGACUGCCUUCUCUUGCAAGUGACAGCCGAAAGAAUCUGCAAGUCUAAUUGUAAAAGAAUGCUCAAAAAAGCAUAAAUCCAGAAGAGCAUGCACAGAGCUAAAGGAGGAUGGGAAUUUUCCAGGAGGCUACUUCUUUCCCUUAACCAAUUCCUUGGUUUCCUGCCGGCUUGCAAGUCGUUCAAGUUGAACAAGCUGGUCCCAGUGAAUGAGAACCAGCCCCAAGGUACCACGAUAUCACAGUAAGAGACAGAACAUUAGGCACAGAGAGCGACUUAUUAGAGCACUUACUAAGAGAAGCGCGGUCCUGAGUGGAAAGCGAGACCAAAGGCAUCUCCACAAUUUGGUCAGACACC